rnacentral:pre_miRNA from 1 species
AGCACAAACUUGAAGAGAGUAGUUGGGUAUGGUCAGAUGAUCCUACUAAUCUGCUCUACUUUAAGUUUGUACUC